GGGCGUGACGAGUGCUUGUGCAAUAGUAACGAAGAAAGAAAAGAACUGUUGAAUGAAAAAUGUUUUCAUUGUCUCAAUCAUCCGACCAUCAUAAAGUUUGGUAACCUGUGCGAUGGCAUUUUUCAUUGUCCCGAUUUAUCUGAUGAAUGCAUAUGUAGAAAACGAGGCCCCCCACCUGAAAUAUGCAAUCACGUAGACAGGGAUAAAAAUCAACCUCUAUCGCCGCAAUGGAAAUGCAGCACAGGCAACAAUUCGCAUAAAUACAUCACAACAUCACAGAUUUGCGAUGAGAGAGUCGAUUGCGAGGAUGCGUCAGAUGAAACAAAUUGUGAAAACAAUUGUGCAGGUUCAAUAUUGGCUGAUGGGGAAGUAAAGACAUGCAAGAAGGAUUAUCGGUGUCCGUUUUCAGGUUGAUA